rnacentral:rRNA from 1 species
UGAUCCUGCCGGAGGCUACUGCUAUCGGAAUUCGAUUAAGCCAUGCGAGUCGAGAGGGUUCGGCCCUCGGCUGACGGCUCAGUAACACGUGGAUAACCUGCCCUCAGGUAGGGGAUAAUCUCGGGAAACUGAGGAUAAUACCCUAUAAACAUCCUUUGCUGGAAUGCUUGGAUGUUCAAAGGCAACGCCUGAGGAUGGGUCUGCGGCCUAUCAGGUUGUAGUGGGUGUAACGGACCCACUAGCCCGCGACGGGUACGGGCCUUGAAAGAGGUAGCCCGGAGAUGGACUCUGAGACACGAGUCCAGGCCCUACGGGGCGCAGCAGGCGCGAAAACUUCGCAAUGCGGGAAACCGUGACGAGGGAAUUCCGAGUGCUCAUACAAUGUAUGGGCUUUUCUUAUGUGUAAAAAGCAUGAGGAAUAAGGGCUGGGUAAGACCGGUGCCAGCCGCCGCGGUAAUACCGGCAGCUCUAGUGGUAGUCACUUUUAUUGGGCCUAAAGCGUCCGUAGCCGGUCGGGUAAAUCCUUGGGUAAAUCGUACCGCUCAACUGUGCGGCUUCCGGGGAGACUGCCCGACUUGGGACCGGGAGAGGUUGGAGGUACUCCUGGGGUAGGGGUGAAAUCCUGUAAUCCUAGGUGGACCACC